rnacentral:rRNA from 1 species
CCCCAGCGCCACGAGUGGCAACCGCGUUUAUUGGGCCUAAAGCGUCCGUAGCUGGCCCUGUACAUCCUUUGUGAAAUCGUGCGGCUCAACCGUACGACGUGCAAGGGACACGGCAGGGCUCGAGACCGGGAGGGGUCAGAAGUAUUCCGGGGGGAGCGGUAAAAUGUUAUAAUCCCCGGAGGACUACCUGUGGCGAAGGCGUCUGACCAGAACGGAUCUGACAGUGAGGGACGAAAGCCAGGGGAGCGAA